UUAAAAUGAGAGUUUGAUCCUGGCUCAGGAUGAACGCUGGCGGCGUGCCUAAUACAUGCAAGUCGAACGCUUUGUUUUUAAUUGAUCUGACGAGCUUGCUCUGAUGUGAUUUUAUCUGACAAAGAGUGGCGAACGGGUGAGUAACACGUGGGUAACCUACCUCUUAGCAGGGGAUAACAUUUGGAAA
rnacentral:rRNA from 1 species